UGGCAGAUUGUCUCUGGCUCCCGAGAUAAAACCAUCAAGUUAUGGAAUACUCUGGGUGUACGCAAAUACACUGUCCAGGAUGAGAGCCACUCAGAGUGGGUGUCUUGUGUGCGCUUCUCACCCAACAGCAGCAAUCCCAUCAUCGUGUCCUGUGGCUGGGA